CAGCAGUCAGUCUUUCAUUUUUGUUCACUAACAUCGGCUUUUGAAUGCUUUUUGAGAAAAGAAAUGCCUUUUAGUGUUUGCAGUGAAUUAGUGGGGAGCGUCAAAUCAUUGCUGUGUUUUAGAGGACAUUUUGACAGAAUUGACGGCUCUGGCGCAGAUGUUUCAAACAAAAAGUUUUGAAAAACAGUGAUAAAUUCCGUUGAUAUUAUUUGUGAGUAUAGGUGCACGUUACACUGGGUGGGUUGUUUUAUUGGAGAUAUGAUAAGUUACCUUAUUAUAGAUAUCUAAUAUUACUUGCAGCAGCUAGGGAACAUUUUUAAUUAGUCUUUGGUGCACAACAUUAUUGCCUAGUUGACUGUUAAUUGAGAUUACAGGCUACAGUUUGAAGAUAGGACUUAAACAUGAACACUUUUUUGAUAAUAUUGCUAAGGAAGCCCUCAGCGUCCCACAAAGUAAAUCUCGUCGAUCUUUUCUCAUUUUUUAAUACUCUGCCUGCAUGGGCUUGCUUAAGUUAAUGUUUGUAUGCCUAGAUUAUUGACAAUGCGGCAAUGCUCCUCAGUAUCCUUGUGUGGUGAAAUGUGAAUGUUAAAUCGCAUACUAGCAUACCUGCUCUUGCCUGAAACCGUUUUUCGGCUUAAAGUCUGGACUCUUGCGGUUAGGUUGUUAACUAUUUGAUGUGAUGUUUUCCUAAUUGCCUUAUUUUGUUCAAUCAUGGGAUUUUACAAUAUCUGUGAUAAGUUCUCAAGGUUUUUUAUUGGUACGUAGGUACCUAUGUCCUAUAUUGAUAUGAUAAUGCUCUUUUUCAGAUCUUGGUCUGUACUCUGUGAGCAUAAACUUUGAAGAUGGAGUGAGGUUGAGCCAAGUCAUAGCCAGAUCAUUAUCAACUUGUACUUGUAUUCAUGGUAAUGUGGUUGAUUGAAGAAAAUGAUGAACUGAACUUAUUAAAUAGGUAUUAGGUACCUAUAACCUAUCCAAAGAGAAGAACGUGCUGUCAAGCUGGAUUUCUCAAUGUAAGCAGUCUGUUCCAAGCACUGUUCUACUGAAAAUAUUCAUCCAACCAGCCAACCAGUUCAUCCAACCAGCAACCUAUCCACUGAUGCUGUGGCUGCUGGCUGAUGGUGGAGGCAAAGCACCAACUGUCCUUGAUGCCUGGUGUGUGCACAAGUAGAUGAGUGCCGUUCAUCGCCGCAGUCUUCCUGGACCUUCGCUCAUCGCCGUCGUCUGUCGGGGCCUGCAAUUCGGUCGUCGCCGUCUGCCGAGGCCAGCCAGCUCCACAUUGAUUCCUGCCUAUCGCCGCCGUUUGCGGGGACCUGCAAUGUCGCUGCCGUCGUCAGCCAGAGAAGCUGGUCACAGUCAUCGAAGAGCAGUGAUCUCCGCCGUUUGAAGAGCCGUGUAAUAUAUAUCAUGUGUUGUCGCCUGUCAGUCCCCAGUGGAGUUCUCAUGUGCCGUCCGUCGACUGGCGUGUCCCAUGAUAUGACAUCUGAGGGUCACCCACCGGCCACCGUUUACCGGCGACUCUGAGGGCCAUCAGCCCCGAGUCCCUAGAUAUCCUCAGCUCGCACCCGGCAGCAGUCUCUGUCGCAUCUGGAGUGUAGUCUAUCCUAAAAUACUUGAUGCAUUGCGCUGCUUCUUGUGUUAAUCUGCUGGGAAACUUGGAAAGUGUUAACAACGAUAUAUGUGCGAAGUGGAAGCUGUGUAAAGUCGUCUGCAUAUUAAUUUCAACGGUGGUUAAUGCGAAGUGAUAUUGGUCGAAA
rnacentral:lncRNA from 1 species